GCGCCUGUAGCUCAGCAGUUAGGGCACCAGCCACAUACACUGGGGGCUGGUGGGUUCAAAUCCAGUCCAGGCCCG
rnacentral:tRNA from 1 species